GGGUACAGGGAAUUAGGGUUCGAUUCUGGAGAAGGAGCCUGAGAAACGGCUACUACAUCUACGGAAGGCAGCAGGCGCGUAAAUUACCCAAUCCUGACUCAGGGAGGUGGUGACAAGAUAUAACAACGAGAUCAUAAAUCUCAUUUGUAGGGGGGGUUUCCUAAAUAAACCCUAUAGUACAAUUUGGGGGCAAAUA
rnacentral:rRNA from 1 species